GCACAAGCAGUGGAGUAUGUGGUUUAAUUCGACGCAACGCGGAGAACCUUACCAAGUCUUGACAUCCUGCGACGGUUCUGGAAACAGAACUUUCCUUCGGGACGCAGAGACAAGUGGUGCAUGGUUGUCGUCAGCUCGUGUCGUGAGAUGUUGGGUUAAGUCCCGCAACGAGCGCAACCCUUAUGGUCAGUUACUACGCAAGAGGACUCUGGCCAGACUGCCGUUGACAAAA
rnacentral:rRNA from 1 species